AAGUCGUAACAAGGUUUCCGUAGGUGAACCUGCGGAAGGAUCAUUAUUGAAAUAUCAGAGACGGGUUGUCGCUGGCCUCGACAGAGGCAUGUGCACGCCUGGAUCGAUCUUCAUACACCUGUGCACCUCCUGUAGGGCGCGGAGGGGACUCGUCCUCUCUCGAGCUCUACGCCUUUUACACACCCCGAAUGUAUCUGAAUGUCUUAUGACUCUGCCGUCACACGCAGAAGAAUUAAAUACAACUUUCAACAACGGAUCUCUUGGCUCUC
rnacentral:misc_RNA from 1 species